GUGGGGCACUGUGGCUCAUGCCUGUAAUCUCAGCACUUUGAGAGGCCAAGGCAGGUGGAUCACCUGAGGUCAGGAGUUCGAGACCAGUCUGGCCAACAUGGUGAAACCUCAUCUCUACUAAAAAUACAAACAAAUUAGCUGGGUGUGGUGGUGCACACCUGUAAUUCCAGCUACUCGGGAGGCUGAGGCAGGAGAAUUUCUUGAAAUAGGGAGGCGGAGGUUGCAGCAGGUCGAGAUCACACCACUGCACUCCAGCCUGAGCAACAGAGUGAGACUCAGUCUCAAAAAAAAGAAAAAAAAGUACUAGGGAUUAUAGUGCAAUUUCAGAUAGAGGGUGGACAGGGAGGACCUCCUUGAAAAGUUAACAUUUGAGCAAAGACUUGAAAUUCCUGGGGAGUAAGGAGUACAGAUAUCUGGAUAAAGAGUUUGUGUAUUAGGGUCCUUCAAAGAAACAAAACCAAUAGGAGAGGUACAUAUAUCCUUGUGUGUGUGUGUAUAUAUAUAUAUGUGUGUAUGUGUGUGUGUGUGUGUGUAUACACAUACACACUUAUCUGUUUGUAUAUAUACAUAUAUAUACUUAUCUGUUUGUGUAUAUAUCCAUAUAUGUAAGUUUAUAUAUAAUUUAUAUAAAAGGAGAUUUUACAUAUUGUAUAUCUAAGAGAUAUCUAUAUCUUUACAUAUAUAAUACAUAUAUAUAUGGAGAUUUAUUAUGAGGAAUAAUCACAUGAUUAGGAGGCUGAGAAGUCCCAGAAUCUGCCAUCUGCAGACUGAAGAGGCAGGAAAGCCAGUGGUAUAAUUCAGUAUGAGUCCCAAGACUUGAGAACCAAGGAGACAGUGGCGUGAAUCCGAGUCCAAGGGCCAGAGAAGAUGACGUGGAGCCCAGCAGCAGUGAAUCUGAAGCAUGUUUUUCUAGGACCACCCUGCCUGC
rnacentral:lncRNA from 10 species